UGCAUUGGGUAAUCACUCGAUCUGACAAGUUAGUCAAGGUCAAUUUCAGGUUAACAACUUUCUGUUAUUCAUCUCCGUUCAACAAGGGAUUUUACUUAACAGAUCUGAUACCUAUUAGACUCGGAAGAUGAAGCCUUUCCAUGCUAGUGAACCAUAGCUUAAAUGGAACCUGCCCCCCACCCCACCCCCGCUUCCCCCGUAGGAAUGGAUUGAAGACCUACUUGAUGUGAGUAGCUGUCAAAAAGAAAACUGCUUGAACUUGUUGAGUUUAAUUGACGCG